rnacentral:rRNA from 1 species
AACGAACGUUAGCGGCGCGCCUAAGACAUGCAAGUCGAGCGAGAAAGGGCUUCGGCCCCGGUACAGCGGCGCACGGGUGAGUAACACGUAGGUCAUCAACCCCCGAGUGGUGGAUAACCCUCCGAAAGGAGGGCUAAUACAGCAUGACGGCAGCAAUGUCCAAAGCGGGCCUCUUCAUGAAAGCUCGCGCUUGGGGAUGAGCCUGCGGCCCAUCAGGUAGUUGGCGGAGUAACAGCCCACCAAGCCUAAGACGGGUAGCUGGUCUGAGAGGAUGAACAGCCACACUGGAACUGAGACACGGUCCAGACUCCUACGGGAGGCAGCAGUCGGGAAUCUUCCGCAAUGGGCGAAAGCCUGACGGAGCGACGCCGCGUGAGCGAUGAAGGCCUUCGGGUUGUAAAGCUCUGUGGGGAGGAAAGAAUAAGUUCAGGCCAAUACCCUGAAUGAUGACGGUACCUCCUUAGCAAGCACCGGCUAACUCUGUGCCAGCAGCCGCCGUAACAC